rnacentral:tRNA from 1 species
GGAAGGAUGGUCCAGUGACUAGGGUGCUAACGCCUGACUUAAGUGAUCUGGGUUCGAGUCCCAGCUUUUCCA